GGGGCGGGGAGGAGGAUUGGAGAGCCAAAAGGUAGAGAAAGAAAAAGGGAGGGAGGCGGAGAUGGACCUGGAAGGAGUCAAAGAAAUAAUGUAGUAGAGCGGGGAGGAGAGAUGGUGAAGAAUGGGUAAAAGGAAAGGGGAGAGAGAAUGGGGGCACCCAGGGAGGAGAGGGCUGGCUCCUGAUUAUUGAUUCUGAAUUCCAUCUUGGAGCAAAAACUGUCACCAAGAGCGGCACAGUGCUUCACUGCCCCGCCGAAUGCAGUCAGCACCUGGGACAGCUCCUCUGCUGCCGCGCCCCUCCCCCACCCGAGAUGGGCUUUCCCAGAGUGAGCUUUAAGGGGACACGGAGGUCCCUCACAUCCCAUGUCACAGGUGGAGAAACUGAGGCCACAAGUUGGGAAGGGCUGUCCCGAGUGAAGGUACAGGUUUCCUCGGUGCCCAGGGGCAGAGUGAACUGAGCAGGCCUCAGUCGGUCCGGGACAAGCUCAGCCUGAGAGAGGCAGUACGAAUGAGGAAGAGCCGAGCGUGCAGACUUAGGAGGCACAGCCCCAGAGGAGA